GAUGAACGCUGACAGAAUGCUUAACACAUGCAAGUCUUUGGCGAAGCUGUGCUUGCACAGCCUAGCCAAGGCGGACGGGUGAGUAACGCGUAAGGAACUUUCCCUGCAGUCAGGGAUAACAGACGGAAACGACUGAUAAGACCUGGUAAAGUCAGGCGGACUCAUGUCCAGCCUGAUGAAAAGAGAUGCUGCAGGAGAGCCUUGCGUCCUAUUAGCUUGUUGGUGGGGUAACGGCCCACCAAGGCGAUGAUAGGUAGCCGGCCUGAGAGGGUGGACGGCCACAAGGGGACUGAGAUACGGCCCUUACUCCUACGGGAGGCAGCAGUGGGGAAUAUUGGACAAUGGGGGCAACCCUGAUCCAGAAAUUCUGUGUGCACGAUGAAGGUUUUCGGAUUGUAAAGUGCUUUCAGCAGGGAAGAAAAAAAUGACGGUACCUGCAGAAGAAGCGACGGCUAAAUACGUG
rnacentral:rRNA from 1 species